GAAAUGCGAUAAGUAGUGUGAAUUGCAGAAUUUAGCGAAUCAUCGAAUCUUUGAACGCACAUUGCGCCCCUUGGUAUUCCAUGGGGCAUGCCUGUUCGAGCGUCAUCUAAACCUUCAAGCCCUGCUUGGUGUUGGGUGCCUGUCCCGCCUCCGCGCGCGGACUCACCUCAAAUCCAUUGGCGGCCCCCGCGUCGGCCACGAGCGCAGCAGAAACGCGAACUCGUGAGCCCGUCCGGGCGGCUCCCAGAAGCUACACCCACCCAGUUUGACCUCGGAUCAGGUAGGGAUACCCGCUGAACUUAAGC
rnacentral:misc_RNA from 1 species